rnacentral:rRNA from 1 species
AUGAGCUCUAUUGGCAUGAUGGAGGCGAGGAUGCCGCCGGGGUUCCGGUUCCACCCACGGGACGAGGAGCUGGUCCUCGACUACCUCCUCCACAAGCUCACCGGCCGGCGCGCAUACGGUGGCGUCGACAUCGUGGACGUCGACCUCAACAAGUGCGAGCCAUGGGACCUUCCAGAGGCGGCGUGCGUGGGCGGCAGGGAGUGGUACUUCUUCAGCCUGCGCGACCGCAAGUACGCCACCGGCCAGCGCACCAACCGCGCCACGCGCUCCGGCUACUGGAAGGCCACCGGCAAGGACCGCGCCAUCCUCGCGCACGGCGAGGCGUUGGUGGGGAUGCGCAAGACGCUCGUCUUCUACCAGGGGAGGGCCCCCAAGGGGACGAGGACGGAGUGGGUCAUGCACGAGUUCCGCCUGGAGGAGGAACGACACCGCCACCACCAGCAGCAGCAGAAGGGCGGUGCCGUCGCCGCCGCCGAGCCGAGGUGCCAGCUCAAGGAAGACUGGGUGCUAUGCAGGGUGUUCUACAAGAGCAGAACAACCAGCCCAAGGCCACCAUCUGAAGAAGCCUGCACAUUUUUCAGCGAGCUGGGCCUUCCGACUGUGCCGCCGCCACUUGCCCCCCUUAUCGACGCCUACAUCGCCUACGACAGCGGCACCGCGAUGAACACCAUCGAGCAAGUGUCCUGCUUCUCCGGCCUACCGGCACUACCGCUCAGGGGAUCGGUGAGCUUCGGGGACCUGUUGGGCUGGGACAACCCUGAGAAGAAGGCCAUCAGGACAGCACUGAGCAACAUGUCAAGUAACAGCAAUUCCAAGUUGGAGUUGACCCCAAACUGGAGCCAGGAGAACGGCUUGUCACAGAUGUGGACACCCCUCUGA